CUAGUACUCCCUCCGUCCCAAAAUUCUUGUCUUGAUUUGUCUAAAUACGGAUGUAUCAAGUCACGUUUUAGUAUUAGGUACAUCCGUAUCUAGACAAAUCUAAGACAAGAAUUUUGGGACGGAGGGAGUAGAUC
rnacentral:pre_miRNA from 1 species